GUUUCCGUAGUGUAGUGGUCAUCACGUUUGCCUAACAUGCAAAAGGUCCCCAGUUCGAAACUGGGUGGAAACA
rnacentral:tRNA from 1 species